CUCAGGUGAAAGCAGGCUGAUUGGCUGAUUGGCUGCAGGUGUUGACUCACUGCAGUGCGUGUUUCUGUGGGUUUAUUCAGACGUGUGUAACAGAGCCAGCAGGCAACGUUAGUUAUUAACACAGCCGCCGCUUAGAAACCACUCACAGGGUUAAAUAUUAAGCAGGAAUGGGUCCUCUUCAAGUGGUUUCUCACCGACUUCAGUCCAUUAAGCAGCUGACAAACGAGAAUCAGAAGUCUGGUUUAUUUUAGCAGAAAAAAAUCAUGUUUGGACAAAACAUUACAGCGAGCAAUGGUUCAACUAAUCAUCUGAAUAACUGAGAGGGAGAAACCGAGUGUGCCUAACGUAUUAACCAGCUGAGUUCAAGAUGUUAAAAAGCCAAUGGCUGCUGCAUACAUUACUGUUGAGUGAGUCGGUACUGAGGGUUUUACAAACCAGGAUCAGUCGCUGUUCUAACCUAAAAAUGGACACAACACAACGCCGCAGCAGAGGUCAAAGGGUUCUGGUCCAAAGCCGGGAAAAGGACAAGGGUGGAAGGUGUCACCCUCCGGUGCUUUAUGGCGCCGCCGGCCUUAACGACGUCUAACAAAAUGUCAGCAGCCGACCAAUGAUGCGCCGGCAGCCAAGACAGAGAGAUUUAGUCAAGUGGGAAGUCUUUAAGAGUCAUUUUAGAGAGCAAGAUAAAAGAAUGGGGGAGGGGAGACGAAGGUGAGAGUCGAGUCGUUUUGUGCUGAGGCGGCACUUUGUCCGUCAUUCCAUGAAACAGUGUUGCCCAGCGCAGAGACGCCUUUGUUUGUCUUCUCACCUUUACAGCCUCCAGCUCCAGGCCUCCUCCGCCCACUGCUCCGUUCCUCAACCCAGGUGCAUUUGGACUGUCCACGCUGAACCAGCGGCUCGUUCUUUACUUCCUGUGGAGUCAUUCAAUUUAUUAGUCAAAGUCAGUCGCUCCUGAUGUUUAUUUUCUGCUCCAGGUCCAUUUUUAGUCAGUUGUAUAGAACUGUUAGCUUCUGCUUAGUGCAGCGUCUGGUUUCUUCCACUGCUUCCUCUGAAGUUUGAGUUUUAGCCAGCUCCACUGUAAUAAAUCUAGUGUAUGUUCAAAGAGUGACUCGUGU
rnacentral:lncRNA from 1 species